GGUUCAGGAGAUGAGGUUUGAAAUUAAUUUUUUCUUUUUUUAGGGCCCCACCCAUGGCCUAUAGAAGCUCCCAGGCUAGGGUUGAAUCCAGGCUAUAGCUGCCAGCCUAUCCCACAACCACAGCCACAGCAAUGUCAGAUCCAUGCUGCAUCUGUGAUCUACACCACAGCUUACAGCAACACCAGUUCCUUAACCCACUGACGUGGGAUCAAACCCACAACCUCAUGGAUACUAGUCAGGUUCAUUACGACUGAGCCUCAAUGGGAACUCCUAAUUGUUCAUGUUAACACUUUAUAUGAUCUUAGAUUUAAAAUUGUUGAUUCUAAAGUAAGAAUCCCAUUGACAAAGUAAAAUUAUUUUCUACCCUAUGAACUAUGUACACUUAUAUUCCAACAACAACAAAAAAACCCUCAACCUAUAUUUAUUCAGUGUGAUUGAGUCUUUAAAAGUUACAUUUCUUUAAUUAUUAGGAUUUUCCUUGAAGAUAUUCAAGGUUAAAUUUUAAAUCUAAAGCACUUAGUUUUCCUGGAGUUUAAAUUGUAUACAAAGGUUCUAGGGUGACAAUAAGGUUUUAAUGUCUUAAUAAAAUGUUUAUAAAUCAGCUCUAGAGGUCUGGUUCAGUUCUGUUAGAUAUGCUGAAAUCCAGAUGAGGGAAGUUGGGAUUAAAUUGGAUUGAUUCUCUUUGUGAGCCAGAACUACUCUAGUCAAAAUUUCAAGAUUUUAAUACAAUAUUUGUAAAAGACCCUCAUCUAAAUUAAACUAACCGAGAUGCUUGAUAAACUUGAUAUAUGGACCAAUUAUCAGUAUCUCUUUGUUCUUUUUUGUAUUGCUUCUAAUACUCUUCAGCAUAUAUAGUACUAUUUUUCUCUCAUAAUAUAAACACUGUGAAGAGCAUUUAUUUUUAUUGAACUCCUUUUUUUGAACUGGUUUCCUAUGGCAUACAGGAUUUUUAACCAAUUCUCAAUAGCUUAUUAUUGCUGCUGCUGUUGUUUGGGAAGUUAUUUAUGGUUAUUGUUUCUGCUAAUGCAGUUUUUGUCCUAGAAAGUGUCAGACAAAAUGUCAUUUCUCAAACUUUUAUGAAGGACAAGGUAGUCAGGGGUCCAAGGCCAGUGUUACAAAGCAUAAGCCCUUGACAGCUGAGCCCUGGACAAGAAAACUUAAGCCCUACACAAGAAAAGCUCUGGACAAGAAAAGUAAGUGGCAACAUACAACCCACCUACAUAAAAAUAUUUUCCUCACUGAAUAGUUUCUGUAAUUCUUAUUAUCAGACUAACUCCUUUCAAAGCAUAACUACAGCUUGUAUCUAAAAAUGGAAUCUUUAAUAUGUUGAAUCUGAAAUACAUUGCUUGAGCCAGAAUAAGACUUAGGAUGAGCUAGGAUUAUUGAAACUAGUGACACCACCCUUAUGACUUCCCAGACAUAAAUAGAGCAAGAAAAGGAAUCCCCCCCUCAAAAAAAGGAUAACUAGUAGUACAUGGCAUUUGGUUGCUUCAGCAGAGCAAGAAAGAGACAAAAGGGGUUUCUGGCAAGAGGGACCCAUGUAAAUAUAUGCAAACUGGACUCUAAGGAAUAUGAGCCUUUCUGCUACCUGAGAGAGAAGUAACCAGAAUUGGUAUGAUAUUCUAAGAAGGAAAUAUUGAGGGAGAGGAAUGAGGACAGGCGAGAGGCAAUUUGCCAUAUUCCAUUCUACCAUAUAUCUCAAGGUCAACCAACAUAACCCAGCACAUACUUUUCUAAUGUGUUUUAUUCAGCACAGUAUGCUCCUACGGAAAAGUUUCCAGAUAUAAGGAUUUCUAAAAUGAAAUGUUAUGUGCCACCACUAGAGAAUUAAACAAUAUUUUUGUCAAAAGAAUAACCUUACGUUCACUAGAAUAUAUAAGGAAUAGAUAUUUAUAAAACAAAAUAUAUCAGCUGGUAGGAGACAACAUCUAAGUAUCACACCCCUUCUUCUGUGUAAUUAAACUACAAACUACCCCCCACCUUUUUUUGUCUUUGUCUUUUUAGGGCCGCUCCUGUGGCUUAUGGGUUGAAUUGGAGCUGCAGCUGCCAGCCUACACCACAGCCAUGGUGACGCCAGAUCCGAGCCACAUUUGCAACCUACACUGCAGCUUGCAGCAAUGCCAGAUCUUCAACCCACUGAGCAAGGCAAGGGAUCAAACCUACAUCUUCAUGGAAACUAGUCAGGUUCUUAACGUGCUGAGUCACAACAGAAAUUCCCAAACUACCCCCUUUUAAAAGAAAAAUUUUAGGAGUUCCUGCUGUGGUGCAGUGGGUUAAUGAUCUGGCUUGUCUCUGUGGCAGCAUUAGUUCCGUCCCCAGCCUGGUGCAGUGGGUUAAAGGAUCCGGCAUUGCCACACUGGCAGUGGAGGUCACAGCUGUGGCUUAGAUUCAAUCCCUGGCCUGGAAACUUCCAUAAGUCAUGCGUGUGUCCAUAAAAAAAUAAAUAAAUAAAUAAAUAAAUUUGUGUAACUGUAACAAAAUCUUAAAAAAAUAAUUUAGAUUUUUAAAAAAUUAUUUAAAACAAUUAUGACCAAGUAGUUAUUCUCUUGACACAAAAUAAGGGGGAAUGUUUUUAUUCUUCUUGGGAAAUAACUUGACCUUCAGCUUCCUAGAGUGACAAUUUUAAAUUGGGCAACUUCCAACAUAAAUUCACCAGUUGUUCUUUAUUGCCAUGAGGACUAAUGGGAAAUAAAGCAUAUGGUAUAGUACAAUAUAUAAACUGGCUGAAAAAUUAAAGAAAAAGAAAUUAUAAAAGUAAUUCCAACUAUAAGAAAUGCUGUUUGUUUAAAAAAAAAUAAUAAUAAUAACAAUUACCUUUGUGAUUUGAUAGCCAUGUGGAAAAUUAUUUGACAUGGACAACAAAAAUAUUUGGUUUUUUAGUACCUUGGUUUCUUUCUCUUAUCAUCAUAUAACAGAGGAUGUGAUUCUAAGAGUAGAGCUUGAGUCUAAUUCCCUUGGAAAAAUAAUAUGCAUAUUAAAGGUAGUGGAUGUUUAUAUUCCUUCUAGAAAUAGCUGUAUAAAACAGAUCUCUGCACUUGCCCAGAACUAAUAUUUUUAAGUAACUAGGGCAGAGUGAUACCCCUACUCAAGGCUUUUUUUUUUUUAUCAAUCAAAGGUGUUUCACCAGUGAAAAAGAGAAGACAUACCUUGGAAAAAACUCCACCUUAGGUUUAUAGUUCUGUAUCAGUAAGCGAAGUCCAGGCUAAUGCUGUGUAACAAUCAGAAACCUCAAUACUGUACAGAAAUAAGCAUUUAUUUACUCACAAAUCAUCAGGUCACCUGUGGGUGAGCUGAUCUGAGCUGGGAAAGACUUCAAAGCUCUGCGAAUAUGGAACAGUAUUUCCAGAGUCCUCUAUCUUCGAGAGUUUCUUAUCCUUCUGGACUAGCCUGAACACAUCCUUAUGGUAUUGGGAGAGGCCAACAGAGAUCGUGCCAGUACUUUCCAAUGCUUUUUUUUCAUAUCACACCCACCAGUCUUCCAUUAGACAGAGUAAGUCACGGGCUCAAGUUCAAAGACAAGGAGUGCAGAAAUACAUCUCACCUUUUAGUAAGAGGACUGAACAUGGAUACAGAGGAGGGCGAAUAAAUAGGUCUAUUAACGGUCUACUAUAACCCCCACUGUACCACGGAAAUCUGCUCCAGCUUCUUCUGCGGCUUUCUUCCCUCUUCUCUAACUCCAUGGUCCCUAAGAGCCUUCACUUGUGUUAUUGGUGGUUUUCAUUUGCUUUUAGAUAUAGCAUGUAUUAUUUAAGCAAAUCACAAUUAAUUUAAAUAGAAUCAAACCCGUCUCGAUCCAUAAGGAUGCCACUAAGAAAAUAUCCCUUCCAAAAAUCUACUUGAGGAGGUGAUUUAGGGGGAAGGGGUAUCCGAGGUUCACCUUUGGAGAAAACAAUGCCAACAUCUGAGCAUCUUCUUUUAAUGAGGGACUCUGGGAAACACCAAAGCACAGCAGCAUGAAUGUGAUAACCAGGUAGCAAAGGAUGACAAGGAAUGUGGAGAGUGGACUUUCUCUCACCCAGAUAUUUUUCCUGCCUCGCAUCUAUUCUCUAAAUUGCAGGUAGGUGAUCUUGAUGUUUAAUCUUUUCUAUUUAAUGCAUCACCCUGUUUAUUUUAAAAUUCUUUGUUAUGAACCUUAAAUAUCUGAUAUGACAAAAGGUAAACAAUGAAGAUGAACAACCAUCAAUUGUUUUGGCACUUACUUUUAGUUUGAAGAGAUUUAAAUGUUUAUUCACCAUUAUCUAAACAAUAAACUCUUCCUCUGAAACUGUUUAGAUUCCAAUUUCAGGGUUUUUAAAAUCAGCUUAUAACUUUCCCCAAAUCCUAAUACUAACCAUGAACAAAAUUAAUUUCAGGUUUUUUUCUCAUUUCCUACCAUUUCAUGCAUCAUCUUGUACAAUGCCUGUGAACACACAAGUUCUGUCUCUUUAAGUCACCUUUAUUUCUCAAGGAUCAGGGUGGUUCAUCUGAAGGAAAUAAAGAAUCAGCUUCAGUUUCCCCACACUGGCCUGUUUAACAGAGACUUGGACCCUCGGGGACACAGAAGGAAAGUUUUGAGAACACGUUCAGGACAUAAGAGAAAGAAUUAUCUUAAAAAUACCAUUCCAGGAGAGUUCUUCUUGUGGCUCAGCGGGUUGAGGACCCGACAUGGUCUCCAUGAGGAUGCCAGUUUGAUCCCUGGCCUCACUCAGUGGGCUAAGGAUCUGGCAUUGCCUCAAGCUGCGGCAUAGGUUGCAGAUCUGGCAUUGCUGCGACUGUGGCGUAGGCUGGCAACUGUAGGUCUGAUUUGACCUCUAGCCUGGGACCUUUCAUAUGCUAUGGGUUCGGCCAUAAAAAGAGGGAAAAAAAAAAAUACCAUUACAUCUGAUAAACAUGGAAACUCAAGAAACUUGAUCAGAUCCUUGAUUCAGAGAUCAUCUUUAAGAUAUCAAGCUGCUUAAAACAGUUCUUAUGUUAAUAUCCAUGGUUAAAAUUUCUGCAAGGCCAGUCAGUCUGCAAUGAACCCUAUAAGCUAAUCUGUUUGCCUCUGUAACUUCUUACUUCUGACAGGCAUACCUCAUGGUAAUUUUUAAUGGAGUUUGCUUGGGAUUCUUUGCCACAAGAAUUAUGGCUACCACUUACUAAUCUCUCUCUUUGUGCCAGGAACUUUGAUCUAUCAUUUGGAAAUAUUAUUACCAAGAUUCCCAAGAACAACUAGAGUUACUGUUAUCAUUCCCAAUUAAAAAUGAGGAGACCAGAGUUCCCGUCAUGGGCCAUUGGAAACGAAUCCGACUAGGAACCACGAGGUUGCAGGUUCAAUUCCUGGCCUCACUCAGUGGGUUGAGGAUCCAGUGUUGCCGUGAGCUGUGGUGUAGGUCGCAGAUGCUUCUCAGAUCCCGAGUUGCUGUGGCUGUGGUGUAGGCCGGUGGCUUCAGCUCCGAUUAGACCCCUAGCCUGGGAACCUCCAUAUGCCACAGGAGCGGCACUAGAAAAGGCAAAAAAAAAAAAAAAAAAA
rnacentral:lncRNA from 1 species